CCCUCAAGAUGGCAUAGUGACUGCAGAACUUCUUGAACAAUUAUAUACGGUGGCACAAAUUGAGGGUCUGGAUAACAAAGGGAGUACUCUGACUGCUACACAAAAGGAAGAUACAAAUGGAGCUGCAGUUACUUCUG